GUCACCUUCCGGAUAGAAGAGAUCCCUCUCGACCCGUCAUAUGAAUGCAUCUACAACAGAGCAGCCCAGCUGUGGGCAGAGGCAUUAGUGGUGUUCCAGCGGGCAGCAGAGUGGAUUGGCCUGGAAUCCCGCAAGUCCCUCUGGGGUCAGUUCUGGUCCGCCCAUCAGCGCUUCUUCAAAUAUCUCUGCAUCGCCGCCAAAGUCCGUCGCUUGGUUGAGCUUGCAACAGAGGAGCUGGCAAAGGGCAAGUGCAUAGUCAUUGGGCUGCAGUCUACAGGAGAAGCUCGAACCCGAGAGGUCCUGGAUGAGAAUGAUGGGCACUUGAACUGCUUUGUCUCUGCUGCAGAAGGCGUCUUUCUAUCACUAAUUCAGAAGCACUUUCCUUCAACCAAAAGAAAGAGAGACAAAGGAACUGGCAUUAAAAGAAAACGGAAGCCCAAAGGCCGGCC